AUAUUUUAGUUCAUACGCAAAUUUUAGGUGUCUACUACACUUAACAUUUCCAAUAACUGGUUUCAUUAGGAUUUUUAGUGAUACAAAUUAAUAACAAAAGGCAGUAAUACAGAGUGCUGUUAUGAGGCCAAAAUACAUGUGGUUUAAAUUUGAAGAAUUAAAUGUUAGCAUUUCCCUAUAGAGAAAGGUUAUUUGGGCAGUGGUGUACUGACAUUAUCACCACCCACAGAGAAGGGGACCUGUUAAUCCUAUUGGUUAAGCAGAAAUGCAAAAAAGGAAAAAUGUAGGUCUAGAGGGUUUGCUUGGUGUAAGUGAAUCACACAGGAGAAAUGCUGAUACCCAGAAUUGUUGUAGUGACUUUCUUAGAUGGUUAGAAAAAGAAAUAAGCAUGGGAUAUUUUUGUCAAGUUAGAGGGUUUAGAUUGCUUGCUAGGUAAAAUCAGUCCUGGUUAUUAAUGUAGUGUAAAGUUAAAUGAUGAUCAUGGAAAUAUGAUAAUAUGUGCUGUUUGAUAAUCAGACAGAAACGAUUUUCUGAGUCCAUUAAGAAUAAUCCAAUGUGUUAACCAUUCGGCUGAAGGGCUGCUAAGAAAACAAAUGUGAAAGUGAAUAAAAUAAAGGAAAGCUUCCUUCAGGAAGGUGUUUCUGGACACUACCAUGCUGCUUCUAGCAAAUCAUAUUUGAUAAGAUACAGGUAAGCAACAGCAUUCAUUUAGCAGAAAAUAGUGUUAUCUGUAUCUCUGGAUUUUUGUUUAAACAAUCAUUAAUAAUAAUCUUAUGGGAUCUAGCUAGAAACAAAUCUAUUAAAAAUAACAAUUACUAAUUUGCUACUAUUUAACGUUAGUUUAGUCUGACAGCUCUGGGUAGCUUCGUCUAUUAUUCCUGGAAGAAAACUACAUAAAAUUGGGUGGGUUUAAGUAGUUUCAUACAGACGUGGUACUGCACAGAAAAGCUAGAUAUUAAUAUCACUACAUGUAGGGAGAUCUUGUCUCUGGCCCUCAGUCUGAUGGUUUGAACAUGGGCUGAGCUACCCCAGGCUACCAGUACUCUGCACUUUGGCUUUUGAAACUUUCUGUGUGAGAUAUAGUUUCAACAUGAAACUUCAAAAUACAGUGGUUGACAUUCAGUUUUGGUUUGUUUGAAGCUAAAACUCAAAGCAAAACUCCUGGAGUACAGAACUGUAUGCAGCAAAAUAUAAGAAAGUUAACACAAAACUUCUGCUAACUGAGCAAACUAGUUUCACUCAGCUCUUGAAAUAACCCCUUUCUGCAGAUUCACUUUUCAGUUGCACAUGUGUGAGAUGUCAAAAAAUGAGUUGGUUUCACAACCCCGUAGCACAGAUGAAUGCCACAGCUCUAAGGCUCACCCUCUGUUCUUGUCUUCAUUCUCUGUCUUGGUUGAUACUUAAGACAUCUGCAAGAGAUGAAAUUUUCUCAGCCCCAGGACUCAUUUUUAGUAACAAACCCCAGACUAAUAGGCCUGCCAUUUUUCCACUGCUGGAGGAAAACCUGGACUCUUGCUGAGCUGUAUGGUGAAUAUCUCGGAGAUAUUUGAAUCUACUACUAAUAAAAAGGCCUCUAAAAUGCUAGCAUGGAGGAACGCGUUUAAGUAGCAUAAUCCGUAUGUAUGGAUCUGAUUACUGGAGCACUGAAAGACAAGAUGGCUGUAGGCGGCAUAUCUCUAGAAAUGAGCCUCUUUCCAUAUGGCUUGAUUGUUAUUCAUACUUCCUGGCAGUGGUUAGAAGAGGAGGAUGACUGAGAAUUUAGUAGAUGCCUGGUGGGGUUGACAGUGGUUGUUUGAGGUCCGGGAGUCAGUAGAGAGUGAUUAGGUGACUGCUGACUCAGUGGGGUGAAGCCGAGAGGUCCUCAGCAAAACCACAUCUGUAGCCCCAUACCCUGAAAAUGAGCAUGCCCUUAAUGUCCGCAAGGAAUCCUUCGAACAUCAGGACUACUGAAACUUAGUGGAUUUGUCUAACAGCAUUGACCCACAGGCCUCAUUGGAAAAAGCAGAUCUACCUCUCUCUUUUGGCUUCUUAGUUGGCUUCUUCAAGGGAUACAGAGGUCAUCAAAAUAGAUCUGUGUCUCUUUUGCCAAGCCCUGAAGGCCUGCUGAGAAGCGAUCAGUUGCAAAUGCUGGUGGGGAUUCUGCUAUGAAACCAGAAAACACCCCAGAAGCCAACCUGUGAGAGUGUCAGACUCUUGUAGAAAGUUAAGGUAUCUAAAUAUAAGUACGCACUUUCAAAACUGCUAUGGCUGACUGUUCAUGCAUCUCACUUGCUUAAUCUGUGGGGAUCCUUUUUUACUCAUUCAGGGAGGGAGGCAAAGAUCACUGAAGCCAAUAGAAAGAUGCAGAGUGAUUUCAGGAGGUUUUAGGUGAGGUCAUGCAGUUUGCUCCCUCUGACUGCCAGUAUCCUUGGGUCUUGCUAUUAUCCAAGCCUUUGGUGGCCUCUACAGCUGCUAUAGCAGUUUCUGCAUUGCAGUGAGAUUAUGCAGUUCUCAUGGUUCAUGUUUUUGUGAUGCCUGCCCUAGCCCCAGCCCCUUCACACCACAAACCAGGGACUUCUACAAAUGCGGCUGAGAGAAUCUCUCCACUGAUGGCAGUCCAAG